rnacentral:tRNA from 1 species
UGGGGUGUAGCUUAAAGGUGAAGCGUCUGGCUGUUAACCAGAAGAGUGUAGGUUCAAGUCCUACCACCUCAGCCA